rnacentral:rRNA from 1 species
GACAGAGGUCCCAAGCGUUAGGCGGAAUCACUGGGCUUAAAGCGUGUGUAGGCGGACGCGUAAGUGCUUUGUGAAAUCCCACGGCUCACCCGUGGAACUGCUUGGCAUACUGCGCGCCUUGAGCCACUUAGGGGCAACUGGAACAAACGGUGGAGCGGUGAAAUGCGUUGAGAUCGGAAGGAACGCCCGUGGCGAAAGCGAGAUCCUGGACGUCUACUGACGCUGAGACGCGAAAGCUAGGGGAGCGAACGGG